UCUCCGUAGGUGAACCUGCGGAAGGAUCAUUACUGAGUUUUGAUUGAAGUUGUUCUGGUCUUUUAAGGUAAGUGAACGCUUCUCUCAUUCCAUCUUACACCUGUGCACCUAUCGUGGAAGACUUGGAUCUAAGCUGGGUCACGACGGCGCUCUACAGGCUCCUCUUUAUACCAAAUAACAGUUUUAGAAAGUCUAUUUUGCUUGAUGAAAACUUAAAUAAAUACAACUUUCAGCAACGGAUCUCUUGGCUCUG
rnacentral:misc_RNA from 1 species